CCCUUAGAUGUUCUGGGCCGCACGCGCGCUACACUGAUGCAUUCAACGAGUCUAAAACCUGCUCUGAUAGGGGUGGGUAAUCUUUUGAAUGUGCAUCGUGAUUGGGAUAGAUGAUUGCAAUUUUUCAUCUUCAACGAGGAAUGCCUAGUAAACGCAAGUCAUCAGCUUGCAUUGAUUACGUCCCUGCCCUUUGUACACACCGCCCGUCGCUCCUACCGAUUGAAUGUUUCGGUGAAGAUUCCGGAUAGGACUUUUUUGAUUUAUUUCAAUUUUGUCUUAAAAGCUAUCUAAACCUCAACAUUUAGAGGAAGGUGAAGUCGUAACA
rnacentral:rRNA from 1 species